AAUGCAGGCAUGAGUAGCGAAAGAAGAGUGAGAAACUCUUCCGCCGAAUGACCAAGGGUUCCUGGGCCAGGCUAAUCCGCCCAGGGUGAGUCGGGACCUAAGGCGAGGCCGACAGGCGUAGUCGAUGGACAACGGGUUGAUAUUCCCGUACCCGUGUAUCCGCGCCCAUGCUGAAUCAGUUGUACUAACCAUCCAGAUCCCCCAGGAGCACCUUCGGGUGCCGGGUGGGGUGAUGCAUGGGACCUUGGCUGGUAGUAGGCAAGCGAUGGGGUGACGCAGGAAGGUAGUGGGGCCAGUCAGUGGUUGUACUGGUGUAAGCCUGUAGGGCGUGUUCUAGGCAAAUCCGGAACACAUAUAGCCUGAGAGGUGAUGCGUAGCCGUUGCGGCGAAUUCCAUGAUCCUAUGCUGCCGAGAAAAGCCUCUAGUGAGUUGGUACACGGCCCGUACCCCAAACCAACACAGGUGGUCAGGUAGAGAAUACUAAGGCGAUCGAGAGAACUGUGGUUAAGGAACUCGGCAAAAUGCCCCCGUAACUUCGGGAGAAGGGGGACCCAGACCGGUGACGAGAUUUACUCUCUGAGCGGGUGUGGGUCGCAGAGACCAGAGAGAAGCGACUGUUUACUAAAAACACAGGUCCGUGCGAAGUCGUAAGACGAUGUAUACGGACUGACGCCUGCCCGGUGCUGGAAGGUUAAGAGGACCGGUUAGUCACCUUUGGGUGGCGAAGCUGAGAAUUUAAGCCCCAGUAAACGGCGGUGGUAACUAUAACCAUCCUAAGGUAGCGAAAUUCCUUGUCGGGUAAGUUCCGACCUGCACGAAUGGCGUAACGACUUCUCUGCUGUCUCAACCACAGACUCGGCGAAAUUGCAGUACGAGUAAAGAUGCUCGUUACGCGCGGCAGGACGAAAAGACCCCGGGACCUUCACUAUAGCUUGGUAUUGGUGUUCGGUUCGGUUUGUGUAGGAUAGGUGGGAGACUGUGAAGUGGGCACGCCAGUGUUCAUGGAGUCGUUGUUGAAAUACCACUCUGAUCGUAUUGGACUUCUAACCUCGGACCCUGAUCGGGUUCAGGGACAGUGCCUGGUGGGUAGUUUAACUGGGGCGGUUGCCUCCUAAAAAGUAACGGAGGCGCCCAAAGGUUCCCUCAGCCUGGUUGGCAAUCAGGUGUUGAGUGUAAGUGCACAAGGGAGCUUGACUGUGAGACGUACAUGUCGAGCAGGGACGAAAGUCGGGACUAGUGAUCCGGCACCGGCAAGUGGAAGCGGUGUCGCUCAACGGAUAAAAGGUACCCCGGGGAUAACAGGCUGAUCUUCCCCAAGAGUCCAUAUCGACGGGAUGGUUUGGCACCUCGAUGUCGGCUCGUCGCAUCCUGGGGCUGGAGUAGGUCCCAAGGGUUGGGCUGUUCGCCCAUUAAAGCGGCACGCGAGCUGGGUUUAGAACGUCGUGAGACAGUUCGGUCUCUAUCCGCCGCGCGCGUAAGAAACUUGAGGAAACCUGUCCCUAGUACGAGAGGACCGGGACGGACGAACCUCUGGUGUGCCAGUUGUCCCGCCAGGGGCACUGCUGGUUAGCUACGUUCGGAAGGGAUAACCGCUGAAAGCAUCUAAGCGGGAAGCCUGUUCCAAGAUGAGGUUUCUCACCCCCUUUU
rnacentral:rRNA from 1 species